CUUUUACCAAAAUUUCUAAGUUAAAAAGGGGCAUAAUUCUGUCAAUAUUGUAGGCAGAGUUAUCCAACUUGUCAAUCUGAUGUACCUUGUUACUAUAAAUAAGUAUUGUAAGUUUCAAUUGAAUAUCUCAAGUAAUAAUUGAGAUAUUUGACUUUACAAAAAACUUUAACCAACGCAGACGCCGACGCCGAUUAUGUUUGAGCAUUGGAAAUUAGAUCAAAUGAGUUUAAACUGGACAAAUUUACAAAAGUUUUCUGGAAAUAUGAACUUUUAAACAUGUGUAUUUCAUGAUUCAGUUAAAAUGGAGGGAACUACAUGUAUAUAACCAUUUCUAACAGUUGCAAACUUUCAAGUCUUGGAGUCACAUGAGAUGUUUCAACUCAAAGGAUAUCAGAUGAGGGAAAAUGAAUACAUGUACUGUUGAAUACAGAAUGCUAACAGAACUAUCCUGUAUCCAUCAGAGAGGUCACACCACAAGUCAAGGAGAUGUUGCAUCAUGUGAAGUGAAGGAUAUAUACAUGUGUACUAGAUGGAUGUUAAAUUACAUUUGUUUGAAUAAAACACUUUGACUUAGAAAUAAUUGUGAAAUGUGCAAAUUACUAUAAGUGUUUGAAUUCUUGACGACUAGAGUGCUUUUUUGGAUUUGCUAAUAAAAACACAAAUGCAAAUUAAAAGGUCAUUUGAUUUUAGUAUGCAACCAUCAUUUCAGUAAUCCAGUGAAUUCCAUAGUAAUUCCAGAAUGUUCCAGAGUGAAUUCCAUAGUAGUUCCAAAAUUAUUUCAAGGCUAAUGGCAUCUUAUUCCAGAUCCUAUUUUUAACUGCGGAACUUUUUCCAGAGCGGCUCUGGAACAUUUUCCAGAGUAACUCCGGAACAUUUUCCAGAGUAACUCCGGAACAUUUUCCAGAGUAACUCUGGAACA